rnacentral:rRNA from 1 species
AUUGAACGCUGGCGGCAUGCCUUACACAUGCAAGUCGAACGGCAACACGGGUGCUUGCACCUGGUGGCGAGUGGCGAACGGGUGAGUAAUACAUCGGAACAUGUCCUGUAGUGGGGGAUAGCCCGGCGAAAGCCGGAUUAAUACCGCAUACGAUCUACGGAUGAAAGCGGGGGACCUUCGGGCCUCGCGCUAUAGGGUUGGCCGAUGGCUGAUUAGCUAGUUGGUGGGGUAAAGGCCUACCAAGGCGACGAUCAGCAGCUGGUCUGAGAGGACGACCAGCCACACUGGGACUGAGACACGGCCCAGACUCCUACGGGAGGCAGCAGUGGGGAAUUUUGGACAAUGGGCGAAAGCCUGAUCCAGCAAUGCCGCGUGUGUGAAGAAGGCCUUCGGGUUGUAAAGCACUUUUGUCCGGAAAGAAAUCCUUGGCCCUAAUACGGUCGGGGGAUGACGGUACCGGAAGAAUAAGCACCGGCUAACUACGUG